UUGGUGGUGAUAUUUUCUGAGCAUU
rnacentral:piRNA from 1 species